UGAAGCUCCCAGCUUGCUGGGGGUGGAUGAGUGGCGAACGGGUGAGUAUCACGUGAGGAACCUGCCCUGAACUCUGGGAUAAGCCCGGGAAACUGGGUCUAAUACCGGAUAGGACUAGCCAUCGCAUGGUGGUUGGUGGAAAGCUUUUGCGGUUUGGGAUGGUCUCGCGGCCUAUCAGCUUGUUGGUGGGGUAAUGGCCUACCAAGGCGUUGACGGGUAGCCGGCCUGAGAGGGUGACCGGCCACACUGGGACUGAGACACGGCCCANACUCCUACGGGAGGCAGCAGUGGGGGAUAUUGCACAAUGGGCGCAAGCCUGAUGCAGCGACGCCGCGUGAGGGAUGACGGCCUUCGGGUUGUAAACCUCUUUCAGUUGGGAAGAAGCCCCCUUUGGGGGUGACGGUACCUUCAGAAGAAGCACCGGCUAACUACGUGCCAGCAGCCGCGGUAAUACGUAGGGUGCGAGCGUUAUCCGGAAUUAUUGGGCGUAAAGAGCUCGUAGGCGGUUUGUCACGUCUGCUGUGAAAGCCCAGGGCUUAACCCUGGGUUUGCAGUGGGUACGGGCAGGCUGGAGUGCAGUAGGGGAGACUGGAAUUCCUGGUGUAGCGGUGAAAUGCGCAGAUAUCAGGAGGAACACCGAUGGCGAAGGCAGGUCUCUGG
rnacentral:rRNA from 1 species